rnacentral:tRNA from 1 species
GUUAAUGUGGCUUAUAAUAAAGCAAAGCACUGAAAAUGCUUAGAUGGAUUGUCAAAAACUCCCAUAAACA